rnacentral:lncRNA from 1 species
GGUAGACUCUUUCACAAGAAUCUAACUAUGCCGCCGCACAAUUUGUCUCAUAACCACUACAUGCAAUUUAAAAGGGUAUCUUAAGGCUUUUCAUCUCUGGUAAUCGAUUACACAGCCUUGGUAAUCGAUUACCAGAGGCUAAACUCGAAUUACACAGCCUCAGAACAUGAAAUAUGCAAAAAUGCACUGUGUAAUCGAUUACACAUACCUGGUAAUCGAUUACCAGUGACCCAUCCCUCUGUGUAAUUGAUUACACAGGCUGGUAAUCGAUUACCAGAGGCCUCCACAAUGUUCCAGUCCCCUUUCUAAGCCUGGUAAUCGAUUACACCCCCUUGGUAAUCGAUUACCAGAAGCCCUCAUGGCUUCCUGACCUCGUUUUCAAGCCUGGUAAUCGAUUACACCCCGUGGUAAUCGAUUACCAGAGACCAUCUUAGCCUCCUGUCUUCAUUUUUAAGCCUUGUAAUCGAUUACCCACCCUUGGUAAUCGAUUACCAGAGGCCACAACCCAUAUAUCACACAAAAUUCACAGCUGGCCAGCCACCACAAGCCUCCUUGCUUUGUGGUCUUUGUUCCUUUUAUCUGUUGACUGCCAGGAGCUCGCCUGUUUAGGUACAUCACAGGUUCUCACUUACCGACUAUGCCCGGGUUGGGUCGGGAUUGGUCAAGCUUGGUUUUGGGCAAUAGCACCCCACCUGACGUCCCCAAGGUCUCCUGACCCCCACGACAUAUCUCCAGGUACCACUCUGUGGUCAACAAUAAAAGCAGGAAGUUUCACCCUUCAACACUUCCUCAUCUCAAGCUUGUAGGAUUAUGGGGUACCCAUCACAUGUGGUACUAGGUGGCGGUCGGGCGAUGGUGCACAACAAGUUUUCCAC